rnacentral:rRNA from 1 species
GGAAGCCUACGGGGGGCAGCAGUGAGGAAUAUUGGUCAAUGGCCGGGAGGCUGAACCAGCCACGUCGCGUGAGGGAAGACGGCCCUACGGGUUGUACACCUCUUUUGCCAGGGAGCAAGGUGCAGGUCGGGACCUGCUGUGAGAGUACCUGAAGAAAAAGCAUCGGCUAACUCCGUGCCAGCAGCCGCGGUAAUACGGAGGAUGCGAGCGUUAUCCGGAUUUAUUGGGUUUAAAGGGUGCGCAGGCGGAGGCACAAGUCAGCGGUAAAAUCGCGGGGCUCACCCCCGCUCCGCCGUUGAAACUGU